rnacentral:rRNA from 1 species
CCUAUCUGUUGCGAGCGUAAGAAAUUUGAGUAGAUCUGACUUUAGUACGAGAGGACCGAGUUGGACUAACCUCUGGUGUACCUGUUGUGGUGUCAACUGCACUGCAGGGUAGCUACGUUGGGCCAGGAUAAGCGCUGAAAGCAUCUAAGCGCGAAACCUACCUCAAGAUGAGGCUUCUUUUAAGAGUCGUUAGAGACGAUGACGUUGAUAGGCUGUAAGUGUAAAAUCGGAGACGAUUGUAGCUGAGCA